CAGUGGAGGGAGUGUGCAGCGUCAGC
rnacentral:misc_RNA from 1 species